GGGACUUUGGACUUUGUCAUCAGCGACAAGACUCAGACUGCUGUGACGAGUUCCGACGACCUUG
rnacentral:pre_miRNA from 1 species